rnacentral:rRNA from 1 species
UACGGAGGGGGCUAGCGUUGUUCGGAAUUAUUGGGCGUAAAGAGCUCGUAGGCGGCCUGUUGCGUCCGCUGUGAAAGCCCGGGGCUUAACCCCGGGUCGGCAGUGGAUACGGGCAGGCUAGAGGUAGGUAGGGGAGAAUGGAAUUCCCGGUGUAGCGGUGAAAUGCGCAGAUAUCGGGAGGAACACCGGUGGCGAAGGCGGUUCUCUGGGCCUUACCUGACGCUGAGGAGCGAAAGCGUGGGGAGCGAACAGG